CGGCUCCUGCUUUUUUCGAAGCCUUUAGUUCCACUAGGGGUAGUAAGUAGAAAUUAGCGGGUGCCG
rnacentral:sRNA from 28 species